rnacentral:tRNA from 1 species
GGGGUUAUAGCUCAGUUGGGAGAGCGCUUGCAUGGCAUGCAAGAGGUCAUCGGUUCGAUCCCGUUUAGCUCCA